rnacentral:rRNA from 1 species
AGAGUUUGAUCAUGGCUCAGAGUGAACGCUGGCGGCGUGCCUAAUACAUGCAAGUCGAACGAUGAAGCUCUAGCUUGCUAGAGUGGAUUAGUGGCGCACGGGUGAGUAAUGUGUAGCUAAUCUGCCCUAUAGAAGGGGACAACAGUUGGAAACGACUGCUAAUACCCUAUACUCCGCUUUAACACAAGUUAAAUCGGGAAAGUUUUUCGCUAUAGGAUGAGGCUACAUUGUAUCAGCUAGUUGGUAAGGUAAUGGCUUACCAAGGCUAUGACGCAUAACUGGUCUGAGAGGAUGAUCAGUCACAUUGGAACUGAGACACGGCCCAAACUCCUACGGGAGGCAGCAGUAGGGAAUCUUCGGCAAUGGACGAAAGUCUGACCGAGCAACGCCGCGUGAGUGAAGAAGGUUUUCGGAUCGUAAAGCUCUGUUGUUAGAGAAGAACAAGUAGAAUAGUAACUGAUUCUACCUUGACGGUAUCUAACCAGAAAGCCACGGCUAACUACGUGCCAGCAGCCGCGGUAAUACGUAGGUGGCAAGCGUUGUCCGGAUUUAUUGGGCGUAAAGCGAGCGCAGGCGGUCUUUUAAGUCUGAUGUGAAAGCCUCCGGCUUAACCGGAGAGGGUCAUUGGAAACUGGGAGACUUGAGUGCAGAAGAGGAAAGUGGAACUCCAUGUGUAGCGGUGGAAUGCGUAGAUAUAUGGAAGAACACCAGUGGCGAAGGCGGCUUUCUGGUCUGUAACUGACGCUGAGGCUCGAAAGCGUGGGGAGCAAACAGGAUUAGAUACCCUGGUAGU